UACGUAGGGUGCAAGCGUUGUCCGGAAUUAUUGGGCGUAAAGAGCUCGUAGGCGGUUUGUUGCGUCGGCUGUGAAAUCCCGAGGCUCAACCUCGGGUCUGCAGUCGAUACGAGCAAACUAGAGUGUUGCAGGGGAGACUGGAAUUCCUGGUGUAGCGGUGAAAUGCGCAGAUAUCAGGAGGAACACCAAUGGGCGAAGGCAGCUCGCUGGGACGUGACUGACGCUGGAGA
rnacentral:rRNA from 1 species